UACGGGGGGGGGCAAGCGUUGUUCGGAAUUACUGGGCGUAAAGGGCGCGUAGGCGGCCUACUAAGUCGGACGUGAAAUCCCUCGGCUCAACCGAGGAACUGCGUCCGAUACUGGCAGGCUGGAAUCCGGGAGAGGGAUGUGGAAUUCCAGGUGUAGCGGUGAAAUGCGUAGAUAUCUGGAGGAACACCGGUGGCGAAGGCGGCAUCCUGGACCGGUAUUGACGCUGAGGUGCGAAAGCGUGGGGAGCAAACAGG
rnacentral:rRNA from 1 species